UAUUUUGUGUACACGCCACCAUACAGCAC
rnacentral:piRNA from 1 species